rnacentral:lncRNA from 1 species
GGCUGUAAAUGAGUCCCUGGCAUCACCACAACAGGUCAGCCUCAACAAAGGCGGGACAGAGCUGUUGGCCAAAAAAACCCGUCACAGUAAGCUCCCUCCAGGAGAGAAAAUUCAAUCAGAUUUAAACUAAAAACAGCUCAAUCUCCAAAAUAUGUAGCCAGUAUACCAUGAGGAAAAGAAGAUUCUGCCUUCCUAGGGAGGGGAGAUCCAUCCUUUUGAGGCAACACCAAUGGUUACAGAGUGGGAAAAGCCUUCUGAAGGAAGUAUCGAGAAAAAAUUUUAAAGGAAACUCAAGUCUCAAAGCAAAGAAUUAGCAUGAGCUUUUAAAAAACUUUCUAAGGAGCAAAUAAAGAAGCCAUAAGCAUCUCCUUCA